rnacentral:sRNA from 1 species
GCGUUGCCUUGGAGACCGUGGGCGUCCAGCUGCAGUUGUCUCUGGACCGGCCCUGGCUGCCUUGAGAGAGUCCCUUCGGAUUUGCGCCAUGCGCGGCGGGGAGAACCGGCCUCCUGCUCGAGUUCAGAGCUCAUUUGAGGUUAGUUUAAUCGUUUCGUUGAAAGUUAAAACCCUGAGUCGACGUUCCCCAGCCCCCUACCCCCCAGCAGAGAGUCUUUCCCCGGGGAGUCCUGCCCUGGGGUGCCGCCUCGAGGCCAGACGUCGUCCCGCCUGGACCUGAACCUGAGUUUGGGACGGGCGAUUUCCCAACCUCAGGAAUUAGAAUUGAGACACCAAAGCCUAAACGCGUUUCCUGGACGACGGCUUCCCGGCAGGGGCAUCCAGCCAGCGGCCAAGAUGUCGUCAGUGGGGAAGGUGACCCAGGUUCCGAAUGGGAAAGCCUACCAGCAGAUCUUCCAAGCUGAGGUGCAGCUAGUCCACUCCCUGGAAGCCACCAGGAAGAGGGCUGCAGAGCAUUCUGUGACCCUGAAGAGUGGCAGGAUACC